rnacentral:rRNA from 1 species
GAUGAACGCUGGCGGCGUGCCUAAUACAUGCAAGUCGAGCGAACAGAUAAGGAGCUUGCUCCUUUGACGUUAGCGGCGGACGGGUGAGUAACACGUGGGUAACCUACCUAUAAGACUGGGAUAACUUCGGGAAACCGGAGCUAAUACCGGAUAACAUUUGGAACCGCAUGGUUCUAAAGUGAAAGAUGGUUUUGCUAUCACUUAUAGAUGGACCCGCGCCGUAUUAGCUAGUUGGUAAGGUAACGGCUUACCAAGGCGACGAUACGUAGCCGACCUGAGAGGGUGAUCGGCCACACUGGAACUGAGACACGGUCCAGACUCCUACGGGAGGCAGCAGUAGGGAAUCUUCCGCAAUGGGUGAAAGCCUGACGGAGCAACGCCGCGUGAGUGAUGAAGGGUUUCGGCUCGUAAAACUCUGUUAUUAGGGAAGAACAAACGUGUAAGUAACUGUGCACGUCUUGACGGUACCUAAUCAGAAAGCCACGGCUAACUACGUG